rnacentral:rRNA from 1 species
AGAUUGAACGCUGGCGGCAGGCCUAACACAUGCAAGUCGAGCGGUAGAGAGGUGCUUGCACCUCUUGAGAGCGGCGGACGGGUGAGUAAUGCCUAGGAAUCUGCCUAGUGGUGGGGGAUAACGUUCGGAAGCGGACGCUAAUACCGCAUACGUCCUACGGGAGAAAGCGGGGGACCUUCGGGCCUCGCGCCAUUAGAUGAGCCUAGGUCGGAUUAGCUAGUUGGUGAGGUAAUGGCUCACAAGGCGACGAUCCGUAACUGGUCUGAGAGGAUGAUCAGUCACACUGGAACUGAGACACGGUCCAAGACUCCGUACGGGAGCAGCAGGUGGGAAUAGUUGGACAAGUGGGACGAAAGCCUAGACUCCGAGACCAGUCGCCGUCGUGGUGUAGGAAG